GGCAUGAGAAGAGAGGAGGCAUGGCUUCUUUGUGCAUGGAGAGUUUGCACGAGAAACUCUUUCUCGUGUAAAGCAAGGGGCGCACAAGAUAAGGUGGGUGGCGCAUGGAUUAGUUGGUUGCCCAUUCAAAUUCAAACAUCCUUUGAAUUUGAAUGGCCAACUAACUUAUUUUUAUCCAGAUAAUUGGUGCACAAGGGUGGGCG
rnacentral:lncRNA from 1 species